rnacentral:rRNA from 1 species
UACGUAGGGUGCGAGCGUUAAUCGGAAUUACUGGGCGUACAGCGUGCGCAGGCGGUUUUGUAAGCCAGAUGUGAAAUCCCCGGGCUUAACCUGGGAACUGCAUUUGGGACUGCAAGGCUUGAGUACGGCAGAGGGGGGUAGAAUUCCUGGUGUAGCAGUGAAAUGCGUAGAUAUCAGGAGGAAUACCGAUGGCGAAGGCAGCCCCCUGGGUCGAUACUGACGCUCAUGCACGAAAGCGUGGGGAGCAAACAGG